UAGGGAAUCUUCGGCAAUGGACGGAANUCNGGACCGAGCAACGCCGGCGUGAGUGAAGAAGGUUUUCGGAUCGUAAAGCUCUGUUGUAAGAGAAGAACGAGUGUGAGAGUGGAAAGUUCACACUGUGACGGUAUCUUACCAGAAAGGGACGGCUAACUACGUGCCAGCAGCCGCGGUAAUACGUAGGUCCCGAGCGUUGUCCGGAUUUAUUGGGCGUAAAGCGAGCGCAGGCGGUUAGAUAAGUCUGAAGUUAAAGGCUGUGGCUUAACCAUAGUAGGCUUUGGAAACUGUUUAACUUGAGUGCAAGAGGGGAGAGUGGAAUUCCAUGUGUAGCGGUGAAAUGCGUAGAUAUAUGGAGGAACACCGGUGGCGAAAGCGGCUCUCUGGCUUGUAACUGACGCUGAGGCUCGAAAGCGUGGGGAGCAAACAGGAUUAGAUACCCUGGUAGUCCACGCUGUAAACGAUGAGUGCUAGGUGUUAGACCCUUUCCGGGGUUUAGUGCCGUAGCUAACGCAUUAAGCACUCCGCCUGGGGAGUACGACCGCAAGNUUG
rnacentral:rRNA from 1 species